rnacentral:rRNA from 1 species
GUGGGGAAUCUUCCGCAAUGGACGAAAGUCUGACGGAGCAACGCCGCGUGAGUGAAGAAGGUUUUCGGAUCGUAAAGCUCUUUCGUUAGGGACGAACGUGCUCUUUGUGAAUAAUGAGGAGUAAUGACGGUACCUAAAUAAGAAUCCACGGCUAACUACGUGCCAGCAGCCGCGGUAAUACGUAGGUGGCAAGCGUUGUCCGGAAUUAUUGGGCGUAAAGCGCGCGCAGGCGGGAUAUCAAGUCUGUCUUAAAAGUGCGAGGCUCAACCUCGUGAGGGGACAGAAACUGGUAUUCUUGAGUGUCGGAGAGGAAAGUGGAAUUCCAAGUGUAGCGGUGAAAUGCGUAGAGAUUUGGAAGAACACCAGUGGCGAAGGCGACUUUCUGGACGAUGUCUGACGCUGAGGCGCGAAAGCUAGGGGAGCGAACGGGAUUAGAUACCCGAGUAGUCC